rnacentral:rRNA from 1 species
AUGAACGCUGGCGGCGUGCCUAAUACAUGCAAGUCGAGCGAACAGACGAGGAGCUUGCUCCUCUGACGUUAGCGGCGGACGGGUGAGUAACACGUGGAUAACCUACCUAUAAGACUGGGAUAACUUCGGGAAACCGGAGCUAAUACCGGAUAAUAUAUUGAACCGCAUGGUUCAAUAGUGAAAGACGGUUUUGCUGACACUUAUAGAUGGAUCCGCGCCGCAUUAGCUAGUUGGUAAGGUAACGGCUUACCAAGGCAACGAUGCGUAGCCGACCUGAGAGGGUGAUCGGCCACACUGGAACUGAGACACGGUCCAGACUCCUACGGGAGGCAGCAGUAGGGAAUCUUCCGCAAUGGGCGAAAGCCUGACGGAGCAACGCCGCGUAAGUGAUGAAGGUCUUCGGAUCGUAAAACUCUGUUAUUAGGGAAGAACAAAUGUGUAAGUAACUAUGCACGUCUUGACGGUACCUAAUCAGAAAGCCACGGCUAACUACGUG